ensembl:lncRNA
GUGAGAGGUUAUGGGAUUUUCUUGAAUUAACUCCUGCAUGAACUGGAGCAUUUCUCUGAGAAAAUAAAUCAGUUUCAACUUCAGAAUGUCUGGUGGUGAGGAAUCCAUUACAAUCCUCAUGUCAAAUACAAUGACAGAGUGAGUGGUCAAAGAGCUGGGAAUCUCACAGGUUGGGAGGCAAAGGCCAAAAUGGCAUUUUCCUUCCCAACAGAGACUGGGAAUACCAUGGCAGUACUUGAUCUUUUGGUAAGUGUAAAUGCAUUUUUUCCCUUUUCUUUUAUAUUUUUUAUUUCCUCCCUUCCCCCUUGAGAGGCACUAAAAGCAUUAGAAUGGCUUUCUAAGCUCUCCCAUCUAUGGCCACGCUCAUCUAUAACUCCCUGAUCUCUGGCAUGAGCAAGAGUGGUGAAGUUUUGCAUCUGAAGUUUAGUGCAUAAAAUGAUGAGUAAAAUUCCCCCACUGAAUCAUAAUUUCUCUAGCAUGUAGUAUCUGUAUAACAAGUUGGCCAGAAUUUCAACACUGCAUAUGGCUUUUUCACACAUGAACACAUUUUUUAUUGCAUAUUUGUUUGAAAGGGGAUAUCAAUUUCAGAAAACAAAGUACACCUCUGGUUUGAAAAAUGGCUGUGUGAAGUACGAAGAGCUCCAAUUUUACUUUCUUCCAUAAAAAACAUUAUGCAAACUUCAAUACGAAAAGCAUGAAAAUGUACAGAGCUUAAUACUGCGAAGUUCAGUAUGUGUUCAAUAGAGUGUGGACUUUGCUAAGGCAGCAUUGUUCUCUACAGGCUAGUGGUGAUAAAUACAAACAUUCACGUGAUCCUUCAAAUUUCAGGCAUACUGCUAUCAUUAUUGAGCUUUUCCACUAGGCAGUUUUCAGUUGCAGAGCCUUGAAGCUUUAUCCAGUGAGCUCCUUUCCUUUCAGAUGGUCUCUCCUUCAGGGAGAGAGAAAUCAAACCGCUAAGAGAGAACGUCCUGGUUCAGGUGAAUCACUCGGUCUUUGGCACCUGGGAAACUUGCCUCAGAGCAGCAUCCAAGAGAUAAGGCAUUAGGAUCACUUUUGUUAGAACCACUUUUGCAUUUCUUGUAUAUUAGAGAGUGACCAGUAAGUGGGUGCGGAUAGCAAGUGGAGAAAUCUCACUGCUUAGAAAAAGUCUUUCCUGAAACAGCACAUGGUUGCAUCUUGUGCUCCUUCUCUCUCUGCUUCUCUUUCCAUAUACCAGCUCAGAGAGGGCUGCAUCAAAGAGGUCCAUGGACGGAGAGGUCACGGUGAUGCCUGGCUCCACAUGCCUAAAACCCCACUGUCAGAUGACUUUGAUUUUGGCCUUUGCUCUACAUGCUGUGAAUAUGGGAUUCAGGCAACACACAGGCACAGAGGCCUGAAUAUACCUGCUUCUUGUAACAAAUAUGCUUUGAGGUCUUGGUAUAGAUAAAUGUAGUGAUUCUGGCAGAUUUGCAGAGGUGGUGCACCGAGAAGUGGUGCUGGGCUCAGAACUUGUUUAAUUCCUGAGUGCUGAUGUCUUUCACACACUAUGCCUCCUCUGCAGUUGGUUGGAAAUCAAAGCCACAGCCAUUUCCCUGUUGUUGCAAAUUAUUGCAGAUUUUAGUCUCUUGCUGCAGGAUUCCAGUUUGAUGUAGAGGGUUGGGAGAGUCCUGAAGUGAUGGGGAAAUGCAGAGAAGGAGUUUUGUAGCCAGCCCUUUUCUAAAUGUUACACUAGAUAGGGCCUGGGAGGAGGUAUCCUCCAGCACUGUGCUCCUGAGCUGAGAGAUGGGCAGGACACAAUGACAGUACCUCCAGCUCCCUGUCCUGGGCAUCUUCCACAAAUAUCACCACAAAAUCCUCUGUCUCCUUAGAUUUGUGGCAGUGUCCUGCUCCCUGCAGGUGGCAGGGACUUCCCUCGAUCAGAGGUCCUCUGGAAUGGCCCAGGGAGCAGCAGCAGCAGCACCAGGGAACCUUUACUGUAGCUCCUCUACAACCAGUGCUACAAGGAGAGUGCUGGCCACACGUGUGUGGGUUGUGCAUCAGGCUUCAGUAUAAGAAUGCAAUGCAAUCACUGAGGAGUUUGAGGAUGUUGUGUUAGGAGGAAGUUAAAAUAUCUGAGCUUUUGUAAUAGUCAUGCACAUACAGUAAUCCAGCGCUACUUGGUGUAUCCAUACCUCUAGUUUUGAUGCUGUUUACCACCAGAAAACCGUGCUUUUGUUGGAAAUCUCUGUUCCAGGUUGUUCUCCUCCCUGAGUAACUGCAAGCAGAAACACAAUUCCUUGAUGCAAUGGCCUCUAACAGCUGCUUUGGUCAACACAGAUAUGUCAGAGCGCACACACGGCAGCAGGCAAACCAAUAACAGCUGGGACAACCCUCCAACCCAAAUCAAAAUCCAAAGAAAACCAAUUUUUCCUUCCAUAAAUUGAGAUCUGCACCCCACUUUAAUGUUUAAUUCCACAGUUAUUGUAAGAAUACCCCACAGCAGGAGGUUGGAACUAAUGAUCCUCAAGGUCUCUUCCAACCUAAGCCAUUCCAUGGUUCUAUUCAAUUAAUUGCAUUGCUUGUGUUUCCUUUAAAAAAGGAAUAAAAUAAUGAUCUUCCUUUUGUUGCUAUUGUUCAGAUUGGGGUUAUAUUGAGUAAAAGGUACUUGGUAUUUUAACAGGAGCAAGGAGAUCAGCAUAAGAAGCAUGCAAUAGAUAAACAGAGACAAGUCAUGUGAGGGUAGUCACAACUUAUGCUCUUCUGUUGCUUAAAGUUGAUAUUAACAGCAUUUGCUCGGUGUAUCAAUGAUAUUUUAUUCAGGACAUUAAAAUGGCACAAACAUUUUACCGUGUCAAGAGCUGCCUGUUAGGUUUGUUUCUGAAACGUCGCAUUUUUGCAACCAUUUGGUGACCCCACACACAGAGCACACAGUGAGCGUAGUGUUUUCAUGUAAAGAACAUGGGUACCUUGCGUUAGAACAACAGCAGCACAAAUUUGGGAAGUACUUCGUUCAGAUUUCAUCCGUGAAAAAACAUCGGUAGGGUGAAGGAGCUGAAAACCACAAAGCAGUGAAGGGAGAAGUGACUCUCGUUCCUCCUGCUUUGGUCUCCAGCUGAUGGCCUCCCUGACAUUACGAAGCAGUGGGUGGACCCUGCGCUGCUCACACUGUCAUCCAUUUCAGAAGCAGAAGUGCAAUUUGGAUGGUGUUUUAUACCGGGGAUGGAUUAAAGAUAUAUUCCGUCAAAUGUUUUGGAUGGAGUAAUUCUCUUCAUUUUCCUUCCUCCGCAGCUUCCUCCCACUAUAGAGCAACAUGCAGCUGGGCAACCGCGUGUGUCAUGCCUCAACAGCCACUGUGCAACCCAAGCGGGUACUUUUGGGCCAAAUUCCCAUUAUCACAUCUUCUUCCACAGCAAUAAAGCCAAGAAUGCUAACGGAGAGAGGCUGCCGGCAUUUUCAGCACCUUCCUGUUGGUCCGGGCUUGGUUUUGCCAUCGUACCCAGUGAUGUUCCAGGAGCUGAUUUACGUCAGUGUUGCUCUAGCUGAGUAAGGUACAUCAUCUGUGGAAGGAAGAGAAAAUCCUGAGCAAUAAAAAAAGUUCUCAGUUCUGUGAGCACACCUUCUCCUUCAGGAUGAAAGCAAGCAAAGCUGAACGUGGGGCAUCAUCAUAACAUUUAAGAACGUUUGAGUCCCACCUAGGAAACUCAACCCAUCUGAAACACUCUUUAUUUAUUUUUUUUUCAGUGCGUGUCACGGAUCUGCUCAGUUUUCCUGUUUAUCUUUUAUUACUAAGGAAAUGAGGACAUUUGCAUGAAAACAAGGGCUCAGAUUCUUGUAAGGAUCCCUAUUGCUGCCCGUAUUUUCAUCCUCUGAAGGGAUCGGAACCUUCUGUGGUGGGAACCAUAAUUGCUUCCAACCCAAAGGCCCUGUUUUCAUGCAAAUAUUCAUACUAAUAAAGCAGAGGGUAAAAGAAGUAUGUGAAGUUAUGUUUUGCAGAACCACUAUUUAAAGCAAAGCAGCUUUGUAGAACAAAGUCAAGUCAGAAUUUUUCUAGCAGCAAUAAAGGGAAAGGGAGUUUGUAUGUUUUCCAUAACAGAGCCCAAAUGUCUCUAAAUGAGGCUGUUAAAAUGUAAAUACGGAAUCUAUCUCAAUAUUGUUGUCAUCAGCAUCAUCAGCACAUCAGCUCUAUGUGAAAAGAUCCCAACCGGAAUUACAACACCAUUCUUUCGGUAUCUUAAAAGAAUACAGGAUCAUAUUGCCUCUUUCACCCAAAGAUUCCACAGUCUAGUGUGUUCCUGUAGAACCACAGAAUUAUAGAGGUUGGAAAAGACCGUUAAUAUCACCCAUUCUGUCUGUCAGCCCAUCCCCACCGUGCCCACUGACUACGUCCUUCAGUGCCAGAUCUGCGCAUUUCUUGAACGCCUCCUGACACGGUGACUCCCCCACCUCCCUGGGCAGCCUUUCCCACCGCUUCACCGCUCUUUCUGAGAAGAAACUUUUCCUAAUAUCCAACCUGAACCUCCUCUGGAGCAACUUAGGGCCUUACCUUACGCUACCUUCUAACCCACCUCCAAGCCAUUGCUUUGGUCUACCUCCUCCUAAUUUUUCCAAACUCAGGAAUCACAGAAUGGUUCGGUUUGAAAGAGACCUUAAAGCCCACUCAGUCUCAGCCCCCUGCUGUGGGCAGGGCUGACUCCCACCAGCUCAGCUGCCCAGGACCCCAUCCAGUCUGGCCUUGAGUGCUUCCAGGGAUGGGGCACUACAGCUUCUCCGGGCAGCUGUACCCGCUCAUCACCCUCAUGGUAAAGAAUUUCUGCCUAACAUCUAACCGGAAUCUGCUAUCCUUUCAUUUAAAGCCACUGCCCCUUGUCCUGUUGCUAACUGCACAUGUAAAAUGUCGGCCUCACUCCUGUUUAUAAGCUCCCUUUAAGGACUGGUAGGCCACAGUGAGGUCUCCCUGGAGCCUUUUCUUCUCGCAGCUGAGCAAGCCCAGCUCCCUCAGCCUUCCCUCACGGGAGAUGUGCUCCAGCCCUCUGAAAUAACCGAAUAAACGAACAAAACCUACUGAAAAAAAAAAAAUAGAGAUGGACAUCAGAAUUGGGAGCCAUAAAGAAUUAGUAGGAAACGUCUGCGUGCAACAACAAUGCUUUAAUACUUUGGGCUCGGCUUCACCGUAGCCGACAGCUCAGACACCAGGAGGCACCCCCUCGCUUGCAGUUUUCACACAUCAAUACCACCACGUGUCCGCCCCUCUCCUUUCCCAUCUUCUCAGCAGCCGAUGCCUCGCAUCCGUAUCAUAAACACGCACAGCCUGCCAUGGGGGAGCACUUCCUUUGUUACCGCUACGGAGCCACCCCGCUCCGGGCCGGCGGCUCUG